CUACGGGUUGCUGCAGUGGGGAAUAUUGGACAAUGGGGGAAACCCUGAUCCAGCAAUGCCGCGUGUGUGAAGAAGGCCUGCGGGUUGUAAAGCACUUUCGGUUGGGAGGACUGCUUCUAGCACUAAUAUUGUUGGAAGUUGACGUUACCUUCAGAAGAAGCGCCGGCUAACUCCGUGCCAGCAGCCGCGGUAAUACGGAGGGUGCAAGCGUUAAUCGGAAUUACUGGGCGUAAAGCGCGCGUAGGCGGCUAGAUCAGUCGGGUGUGAAAGCCCCGGGCUUAACCUGGGAACUGCACCCGAUACUGUCUAGCUUGAGUACAGGAGAGGAGAGUGGAAUUCCACAUGUAGCGGUGAAAUGCGUAGAUAUGUGGAGGAACACCAAUGGCGAAGGCAGCUCUCUGGCCUGAUACUGACGCUGAGGUGCGAAAGCGUGGGGAGCAAGCAGGAUUAGAUACCCCCGUAGUC
rnacentral:rRNA from 1 species